UAUCGAUUAGUCCUUAAAACUGUUCACGACCAAAUGAUAAGCUGUUAAUAAGGACGAUAGCUUCUAUCGAGCAUAGGUCGCUGUAGGCCAUAUGGGUUGGUUGUCCUCUUAACCAAGGAGUGUGGAGACACUGGUAUGGCAUACAGGUGAGAUGUAAGGGUACAUCAUCAUUGAACGUGACCAACUCCAGAGCAUUCUGCUAUCGAGAAUGUCUCUGAUGGGAUAUAGGUAUAAGUGUCCCUUAGACUUGAGAUCGCCUCAGUGACUUGCAAGCAACUCACUGUGCUUUGAUACUGGACUAACUGAAUUUCUAAUUCAAGGACGGAAGGCUUCUGGGCACAGUCAAGUACUUGCGAAGUCAGAGUGUGAUCGAGAUGGGAUUGACCACUCCAAGAGUUGGAGAAG
rnacentral:lncRNA from 1 species